GCCGGGGUGGCGAAAUUGGCAGACGCACAGGACUCAAAAUCCUGCGGUCCUUACAGACCGUACCGGUUCGACCCCGGUCCCCGGCACCA
rnacentral:tRNA from 1 species